rnacentral:rRNA from 1 species
UCACAUUGGUCUCAAACCAAUGACAUGCAUUUUGAAGACCAUGAGUUCGAGGUGGACGAGGAGGGUGAGGGCAUUGUCGACGCGCCAAAAGGAAGAGCGGGCAAUUACACCAACUCCGAUGACAUCUUACUAUGCAAUACUUGGUUGCAAGUGUUGAGGGAUCCAUCCGUUGGAGGUGAUCAAAGUAGAGAUGCUUAUUGGGGGCGGAUGAAAGAACACUAUGAUGUUCACAACGUCAGUGGAAUUGACCGCUCCGAGAAACCACGUCGGUCCCGGUGGUCGACAAUCAACUCGGAUUGUCAAAAGUGGGCGGCUUGUCAAAAGGCAGUUGACAAA